GGGAAACCUUCUUCCUCAUCCAAAAAGAAGAAAGAUAAAUCAUACUAAAAAAAGUAGCGAAGAGAAAAAAGAAAGGAAAAAGUCAAAAAAAGAUGAAAAAGAUAAAACAGUAUCAUUUGAAAAUCAAAUUGAAAAAGAAAAAGAAAAAGAGAAAGAUAAAGAUAAAGACAAAGACAAAGACAAAGACAAAGAAAAAGAUAAAGAUAAUGAAAAGGAGAACGAAAAAGAAAAAAAACCAAACAAAAAACCAAGUAAAUCAAAAAAGAGAUCCCUCGAACGAGUGGAUUCUGAAAGAGUCAAACAAAGAAUAGAAAAGAAAAAGAAGCGUAAACAUUCUCGGAAAACGGUUGA
rnacentral:rRNA from 1 species